CUGUACUGAUGCUGGCUGCUCCUGGUGUUCCACAUUAUUAUGAUCUGAUGGAGGGCCAUGGUCGCUGGAUUCAGUGACUGGUGGGGCAGAAGAAUCUGGCUCCAAUUGUGGAGGAGCAAUUGACUCUGAAGUCGUACUAGCAGAUUCAGACGUAGGUGGAGCAGCAGGAGCCCCCGUAGAGUUCUGUGAAGAACCUGAUUCAGUUGAGGGCAGACCAUUGGACUCUGAAGAAGUGGUUAUGGGUGUGGCUGCAGGCGCUUCUAAUAGCAAAGGUUUGCUAGGUUGCUGCUGCGAACUUGGAAGGGUAAGACCUGGCUUUUUCUGACCAGACUGGCCAGGAUUAGGACCAUACAAAGUCGCCAUUCCAGGUGGCAGAAUUUCAAUUGGUGGCUUCUUGGCUGCAUCCUGCAGGCUUGUGAUCUUUGAUUCCUCGAGAGAAGCCAAAAAUGCAGCUGCUGCAUCCAUUUUGGUGGAUGGGGUGUGCUCCAGCUCUUUUUGCAGUGUUUUAUUCCAGGCUUGAACCAAGCUUCUCAAUGUUGGUCGACCAUGAGCCUACAGAAAACAGCUUGUUAUGGUUAGGUCUAUAGACUUAGUUUGCAGUAACUUCUAUAAGGCUACAUAUAUCAUACGUGAGCAUGGAGAACAGCCUCAGCGAGCAUUCCCGUCUCCUGCCAAGCCUUCUCCAUGAGUAUGUUAUCUCCCAAGAGGGCAGCUGCAAAAGCAGCUUCUCUUCCUGAACCAACUGAGAUCAAAUUGUUCACCAAAUUCUGCAAAAUUUGCAAACAUAGUGACUCAUCAACAUAUAAGAGGAGAUCAAAAAGUUAAAAACAUGAUGUUUCCAAUCUCAAGAAGUAGAAUCAUCCUAUAGAGAUUUUUUUCAAUAAAUGUUUAUAACCAGUUCUUGAUCUAGCAUAUAAGGUGGUAUUAGAACAUAAAAUGAAAUGAUUUUGUUUUAACCUUCCUAUGCUGAAGACUAUCCAUAUGACUUAGAAUUACUCAAAGCAGGGCAUAUAAAUUAUAGGUUCAGGUCAGAAAACUGAAACUAGUAGCAUUUUGAGAGUUUGAGAGAUAUGAGCCACUGUUUACAUGGUAUGCCUAGACUCAACUGGGAAGGCCCUGUACGAAAGGUUCAAGGCAUUCUGUAGUUGCAUCAUCUAAAAAGUUCAAAUCAUUUAUUUACUAAAAACUGAAUUUGUUAUGUUAACAUAAUGUGCUUCUAUGAGAACCCAUUAAUAAAGCUAUAGAUCUCACAGUAGCAUGCAAACAGCAUAAACAAAAAAUGUGUGGGUGCAAAGUGAAAAAACUCCAAGGUUCAGAUGGGUAGUUGUAAGUAUCCCUGAUGGUAGCCUAUAAGAAUUAUUGACAAAUAGAUACAUACACUGAGACGUGUCAACUCUCCAUGAUUUGCAAGGCGCAGUGGAGAGGCCCUCUUAUCUCAUGGCCUUGCAAAGCUCCUUUCACAGAACCUGCAGCAGCUAAUCUCUUAAGAGCUUCACGAGCUAUGUCAGCUUGUCCAGUGGCAUCUGCAGCAUCAAUAAGUUCCUGGAACUCCUUCGCAAACUUCACUACUCCUUGAACAGCAUCCACAACAUUUUCCUUCUUUGAGGACAAAUUUAUUAUGUCAUUCAAGUUCAACCCCAAAGCUUCUUGCCCAAUAUCUCUACUGUUGCUCAUGAUCAGAAGGCAUUGUAGGGCUCUCUUCAAAUCAUUACUCUGCAUUGCUAGAUCAAAUUCCAGUCUUUUGGAUAUGCCAGGCAAGUGAAGAGCUUCAGUGGCAUAACCCAUUCCUAGCAUAAAUUGAGCUAAAUCAUCAUGAUCUUCUCUACCAAGCCUACUCGCCCAUUUCACAGCACUAACAGCAUCACCAUAUGCUGCAAGACAUCUACAACGGAUACCUGGAUGGUUGAGUGAUAUUGCAUGAGCAGACAUGUACCUGUCAAUUAGCCAGAGAACACCGUCUCUUACUCCAACAACAAGAAGAGGUCCAACUGGUCGUUUUUGUUCGGCUGGGAAUCUAGUAACAGCAACCGCAACCCCACCACCACCCACAGCAACUUCAUUAACUUUUCUUUCCUCCAUCUCUUUAGGUAUUGGCGAAUCAAUUCCUUCAACUUUAGAUUGUUUAGGCAAUGUUAAGAAGGGAGGUAUUGAGGGAGCAUGCUGAAACGAAGCUAGACGCACAACCUGUAACAUAGGAGGCCUUAAUGCUAUCCUUUCCUGUGAAGCAGCCUGUUGACUAUCAACAGAUAUUAAUGCCAAUUCUCCAUGCUCAGCAAUUGCUCUUGACUGCAUCUCUUUAAGCCGUAUCUCUGCUUUCUUUCGUUUAGUUUCUAUAUCAAUAGGUGCAAUACCAGCAUCCACAAAACACACUCAAUGGUGUUGGUGUAGCAACAAAUAAUUGCCUUCUGUGCCAUACACCUCCAGUAGCAUAAGGAAUUGCAACAUCUCCUAGGUAUCGAAACUGAGGACGCAACGAAGAUAUGACAAUAUAUUGUUGGUAGGCAAAAGCACAAUAUUCAACAGUUUGAUCCCAUGCAGUCCAUUCAGGUUGAGGAAGAAGACCUCCCACUGGUUCAAAGGUUUCCCAGCUGUAAAGUUGAAAAUUAGGAGGUGCAGCUUCAGCAGUAGUUUUUUGUGAAGAAUAUCCAUCAUCCACGGUGCUGAAAGAAGAAUUGGGACUACUUCCAAAUCCUGACAAGGGCAUGGACUGAAUCGUAGAAAUAGAUGUGGCAGCAACAGGGCUUAUUCGUCGAGAUGUCCUAUAAGCAACACCAAGCAGUGCUCCCCCAUGCAACCCGGUAACUGGUUCACUCCGGCUACCAACUGAUCUCAUCAAAAUGUUGGAUGUGCCAUCAUCCAGCAAUAUCCGGACUUGGACACUGGCAGAUGAAGCUGCAGAAGCUGCAGCUGCAGCAGCUUGUGCAGCAGCAGCUGCAGCUUCCUUCGCUUCCGUGAUGAGCUGCCUUUAGGGAUUAUAGGCAUUCUGGGAGGUAUAGCAGACUCCAGCAAGGCGAAUCUAUCUCUACAAGUGUCCCAAGCCAAGAGCCUUGCACUACCUGAAUCAACAAUCGACCAGUCACUGAUCUUGUAAAUUGAGAAGUAGGGAAUAUCUGGCCACACAAUGGCAAGAAACCUGCAAAAAUAACACGGCAAAUCAAACAUAUCAACAUCACAGUUUCAGACUCAAGUAUGCAUACGUCACAGAUAAGGGCAAGAAAAAUACAGUCAUAAUAUUCAUAAUAAGUAUAUGUAACAAUUUUGAUUGGAAGAGUGCUGAAAAACACUGCCGUUCCUAUAUCUAAAGAGAGAUCAAUGCCUGAGCAGCAAUCACUACCAAGACAUGAAAAAAAAAAAAGACUACUUACUUUCCGGAACUGCUCACAGAAAGCACCGAGUAUGAAUCGUGUGGAACAGGAGUGCUAACNCCCUUUGUUUGUCUUUCAGCUGUAGGAAAAUAUUCGCUUGGAUUUCAUUUCUUCGAAUGAUUUCGGACUCCUCAAUUCCAUGCUCUUCAUCUUUGUGGUCAAGAGUUUGCAAUUCAGUCUUCAAAACCUGUAUCUUCUCAUCAAUAUUCCCAAAAGUGGAUUUAUUCCAUUCUUUCAGUUCCGUUUUCAAUUUCUUCAAUUUUUCACUGACCACAAAGCAUCUCCAUCCCGUCAUUCCGUCCGCUGUCCACACUUUCCUAACCUGUUGUUCAAACUCCGGAUGUGACACCCACACAUUUUAUUCACUUUUAGCUUAUAAGAUAACAAUAUAAAAUUUUAUUCACUUUUUACACAAAAAAAAUCGAAAUGCCCUUAAAAUAAAAAUUAAAAAAAGUACUCACCCCAACCCAUCAUCUCUCUCUCCUUUUUCGUCGUUCCUCACGCCGCCUCCUCCGAUAGCGAAUCGUCGUCGCAUCGUCUUCCCCGGCUAUAACGGAGAAUCGCAGGUGGCGACUGGUAUGAAUUACAAGCUCGUGAUCUCUACCAAGGAUGGCGCCGCAGCCGCCCCUAAAACCUAUACCGUCGAAUUCCAAUUGGUUCUUCGUGAAUAGCUAGAGGAAUUGAAUGAAUUGGCUGAUUUGUGGCAAUGGCGGUGGCGUCCUCCGGCAAUUGUGUGGCAUGAAGAGGAAUUGGUUGAUUUGCUGCAAUGGCGGUGGGUAGUGCUGUAAAUUCGGGUUGCGGGUAUCGGGUAUACCCUCACCCGUCCCGAUACCUGCGCGGGUAUCGGGUACCCGAUACCCGCAAAUUGGGAGGGUCGGGUGGGGUAUCAUCUCAAAAAUCGCGGGUAGAGGGUACCCGCGGGUACCCACAUACCCGCAAUAAAUAUUUAAAAAAUAAAAUUAAAUAAUUUUAUUUAAUAAUAUUAGGAAUUAAACCAAUUAACCAAAAUUAAAUAUUAGGAAUUAAACCAAUUUUAUUAGGAAUUAAACCAAUAAAUAUUAGGAACUAAACCAAUAAAUAUUAGGAAUUAAACCAAUAAUAUUAGGAAUUAAACCAAUAAAUAUUAGGAAUUUAUAAUAAUAUUAGGAAUUUAAAUAAAUAUUAGGAAUUAAACCAAUAAUAUUAGGAAUUUUAUUUAAUAAUACUAGGAAUUAAACCAAUAAAUAUUAGGAAUUAAACCAAUUUUAUUUAAUAAUAUUAGGAAUUAAACCAAUUAACCAAAAUUUAAAAAUAAAAUUAAAUAAUUUUAUUUAAUAAUAUUAGGAAUUUUAUCCGUCACAGGUUUUUAUGGAUAAUCGAUGAAAUAGAAAGAAUAUUUUCAAUUUUUUUUGUGAAAUGCGGGACAAAAUACCCUCUCGCAGGACGAAAAACCCUCCAGCGGGACCAAAAACCCGCAAAAUUACAAUUUAAAAAAAAAUUGCGGGACUGUGAGGGUACCCUCAUACCCGCAGCGGGUAUCCGCUGCGGGUAUUCGGGUACCCGCAUCGGGGAAGAGGGUCUGGUGAGGGUGCGGUUUUCGGCAGUUUUCGUCCCGCGGGUACCCGCGGGUACCCGAUUUUACACCCCUAGCGGUGGGGGAUUCGAGAUGCUCCAGAUUUAUUCAAUUAUGAAAAAUAGAUUUUAGAAAAAGAGAUAUCUUUUUUUUGGUAGCAAUUUUGAUUUGAAGUAGGCGAAUGUGCCUAAUGUAUUAGGUUUUGUUUUGGUGCUUGCCAGCCUGUGAUAAUACUAACAAAGCUCACUUUGUGGUGUUUAUUUGGUUUGGAUAGAUUUAUUAAUAUUAAUUAGAAUGUGUUCAUAGCUCUCCCUCUCUUCUUUUGGGUGACUUUUUGUGGCUGGUAGAUUGAAAAUUGAUUAAUGUUUUUGAAUUCACAACUAAAUGUUUUUGAAUUCACGAUCAGAUCUAUGAAUUCACAACUUGAUAUUCUUAAAUUUACAACCAGAUAUAUGAAUUCACAACUAAAUGUUCUAAAAUUCACAACCAACUUUUAUUGCUGGUUGUGAAUUCAAACUUUAAAAUUCAAAUUCACGACUAUUUGAAUUCACAACCAAAAUAAUCCCUGGUUGUGAAUUCGAGUUUUAAAGUUCGAAUUCACAAUUAGUUGUUUUGAUUGUGAAUUCUCGAAUUCACAACCAGUUUGAUGAAUUCAUGGCUGAAUUGUUAGUGUUAGUUGUGAAUUCGAGUUUUAAAUCUCGAAUUCACAACCAACUCUAUUGUUGUGAAUUCACAACUAAUGUCUUUAGUUGAAUUCAAACUUUAAAACUCAAAUUCACAACUACUUGAAUUCACAACCAAAAUAAAUUUUGGUUGUGAAUUCCAUUGGAUUGUGAAAUGCAGAAAUUUUUUAAAGGUGGUGUUGAAGGGGUAAAAUGGUAAGGGUGUGUAUUUUUUUAAGUUUUUUAUCUUAGUGGGUAAUUUUUAAGUUUAUUAAAAGAAAUAAGCUAUUUUUAAAAAUCCACUCUUAUUUAUUUGCAGUACAAUAAAUUUAUUACCAUCAAUAUAUUAAAAUUAUGGUCGUGUAUAAUAAAAUUAUAAAUAACUUAGAAACAAUUAAAGAAUAAAAAUAAAAAGAUACAGGCAUCAAAUUCAAAAAACCAACCUCGAAGUGGGAUGAAAAAAUAUAAUCAAACAUGAUACAAACUAGUAUAUCACAACUGCUGAUACACAAACUAUAUCACAACUGCUGCACAAUAAAUCAUCUUAGUUGAGGAGAAGAAACAUCUCUCUUUGGCUAAGCAAUACACAAAGAAGUCUAAAUUACACUGCAGCUUACACACGACGUCCUCAAGCACGUGUCUGCAAUGCUUCUAACGCCUGAUACUUUGAAUGCCACUGACUCAUACUCAGUCUGUUGAUAUCGAAUAGUAUCCUUGUCAAGUGAAGUCAAUCAUUGAGAGUUCAGGGCGUACUCUUGUUCCUUGGUCACUUGCUUGUUGAUGACCCUCAUCCGGGGUAACUGCAGUAGUCUCAGAUGCUAUCGGGGCACUUACCUCGGUACCAUUAGACUCUGCAACACUCUGUACUGAUGCUGGCUGCUCCUGGUGUUCCACAUUAUUAUGAUCUGAUGGAGGGCCAUGGUCGCUGGAUUCAGUGACUGGUGGGGCAGAAGAAUCUGGCUCCAAUUGUGGAGGAGCAAUUGACUCUGAAGUCGUACUAGCAGAUUCAGACGUAGGUGGAGCAGCAGGAGCCCCCGUAGAGUUCUGUGAAGAACCUGAUUCAGUUGAGGGCAGACCAUUGGACUCUGAAGAAGUGGUUAUGGGUGUGGCUGCAGGCGCUUCUAAUAGCAAAGGUUUGCUAGGUUGCUGCUGCGAACUUGGAAGGGUAAGACCUGGCUUUUUCUGACCAGACUGGCCAGGAUUAGGACCAUACAAAGUCGCCAUUCCAGGUGGCAGAAUUUCGAAUUGGUGGCUUCUUGGCUGCAUCCUGCAGGCUUGUGAUCUU
rnacentral:lncRNA from 1 species